UUAGGAAUAUUCGUCAAUGGGGGAAACCCUGAACGAGCGAUGCCGCGUGAGCGAUGAAGGUCCUUAGGAUUGUAAAGCUCUGUUGUAAGGGAAGAAACUCUAUCAUAGGAAAUGAUGAUAGAUUGACGGUACCUUACCAGAAAGCCCCUGCUAACUACGUGCCAGCAGCCGCGGUAAUACGUAGGGGGCGAGCGUUAUCCGGAUUUAUUGGGCGUAAAGCGUGUGUAGGCGGUCUAUUAAGUUUAAGAUCAAAUCCCGGAGCUUAACUCCGGUCCGUCUUAAAAACUGGUAGACUUGAGUACAGUAGAGGCAAGUGGAAUUUCUAGUGUAGCGGUUAAAUGCGUAGAUAUUAGAAGGAACACCAGUGGCGAAGGCGGCUUGCUGGGCUGUUACUGACGCUGAGACACGAAAGCGUGGGGAGCAAAUAGG
rnacentral:rRNA from 1 species